rnacentral:rRNA from 1 species
AAAUUGUAAUUAAAGAAAAUUAAAUUAGUAUUAGUUAUGGUCUUGAAAAUUAAAAAUUUUGGCGGUAUUUUAAUCUUUUCAGAGGAAUCUGUUCUAUAAUUGAUAAUCCACGAUUAAUUAAACUUUUUUUUUAAAUUUGUAUAUCGUUGUAGAUUGAAUAUUUUAAAAGAAUUUAAAUUUUCAAAAUUUAUUAUAAUAAAAAAAUUCAGAUCAUGAUGCAGUUUAUGGAGAAGGAGAAAUGGAUUACAGAAAAAUUAUUUUUGGAUUAAUAAUUGAAAAUUAUUAUGAAAUUGGAUUUGAAAGUAAUUUAAAUAUAUUUAUAUUAAAUGAUUUUAGUUCUAAAAUAUGU